rnacentral:piRNA from 1 species
UGCAACUUUAUUUGGGUUCUUGUUGGUUGU